AGUGAACGCUGGCGGCAGGCCUAACACAUGCAAGUCGAGCGGCAGCGCGUCCGACCACCCUCGGGUGGUCGGAUGGCGGCGAGCGGCGGACGGGUGAGGAAUGCAUCGGAAUCUGCCUCGUUGUGGGGGAUAACGUAGGGAAACUUACGCUAAUACCGCAUACGACCUACGGGUGAAAGUGGGGGACCUUCGGGCCUCACGCGAUGAGAUGAGCCGAUGCCGGAUUAGCUAGUUGGCGGGGUAAAGGCCCACCAAGGCGACGAUCCGUAGCUGGUCUGAGAGGAUGAUCAGCCACACUGGAACUGAGACACGGUCCAGACUCCUACGGGAGGCAGCAGUGGGGAAUAUUCGGACAAUGGGGGGCAACCCUGAUCCAGCCAUGCCGCGUGUGU
rnacentral:rRNA from 1 species